GCCAUUUUGGCUCAGUGGAUAGAGCAUCAGCCUGCAGACUGAAGGGUCACUGGUUUAAUUCCAGUCAAGCGUG
rfam:Myotis davidii contig161947, whole genome shotgun sequence.